UUUUUCAACUGUAUAAUGAGUACAAUUUUGCAAAUUUUGCCAAGUACUCAAUGAUAUUUACAAACAGGCUGUAUAAUUAUAGCUACUGUAUAUGUUUACUUUGCUGAAGAGUUAUCGUAUUCUGCGCAAGAUUUAUAUAGUAGACCAGAUUCAAAUGGACAUAAGAGAGUCUAUCUAUGCAAGGUUCUUGUCGGAGAGUUUACACAGGGGCGUCCA
rnacentral:lncRNA from 1 species